rnacentral:piRNA from 1 species
UAGUUGUUCCCUUGAGAUCCGGUUGCCAAC